rnacentral:rRNA from 1 species
AAGCAAUAAGUAAUCCACCUGGAGAGUACGAUCGCAAGAUUGAAACUCAAAGGAAUUGACGGGGGCCCGCACAAGCGGAGGAGCAUGUGGUUUAAUUCGAUGAUACGCGAGGAACCUUACCUGGGCUCGAACGUGAGAUGACUAUGGGUGAAAGCUCAUAUCUCUUCGGAGCAUUUUACGAGGUGCUGCAUGGUUGUCGUCAGCUCGUGCCGUGAGGUGUCGGGUUAAGUCCCAUAACGAGCGCAACCCCUACCUUUAGUUGCCAACAGGUCAUGCUGGGGACUCUAAAGGAACUGCCUACGCAAGUAGUGAGGAAGGCGGGGAUGACGUCAAAUCAGCACGGCCCUUACGUCCAGGGCUACACGCGUGCUACAAUGGCCGAUACAGAGGGCAGCUACCUGGUGACAGGAUGCAAAUCUCGAAAGUCGGUCUCA